GGAUACCUUUACUCUAGGAAGAUUAUGACUUAUUCAUCUCCAAUUACUAAGAUUCAAUGUGUACCAUGAUUUGUAUCAUUUAACAUAUUGGUGUUGGAAAAUGUAUGAGUCCUUACUGCAAAGGAGCAAAAGAAUAGACCAGAGUAUAUGAUUGCAUUUGAUGCACUCUAAAGGAUAGGACAAAUAGAGCAGCAGAUUACAAACAAUUGGAGAGCCUAGAACAUAUACUAUGCGGAAAACUAUGAAAAGAAACCAGUCCUUGAGUGGUUUCUAAGAAAGGUCCAGGUGCAUCUUCAACCGCCAAACGGAAGGAGAAGUGAAGAUGAUGAAGAACCAGAUUUUGAAGACAACUUUGAGGAUCAGGAAAGACAGAGGAAGAGAGAUAGACCUCAGGAUGGCAACGAAGUUGACUAUGUCAGGGUGGAAGAGGAGACAUUUAGAUUUCUACUUUGUAUUUUUCUUGUUUUCUAUCUUUUAUUGUUAUAAUGUUAGUUGAAACAUGAACUUGAUGGUUUUUACUUUCUAUUCAAUUUAUGAAACUUAUGGUGUUCUAUCUAUGAUUGUGUUAUAUUUGAUGGUUUUAUCUCGGUUCA